rnacentral:rRNA from 1 species
GACGAACGCUGGCGGCGUGCUUAACACAUGCAAGUCGAGCGGUAAGGCCCUUUCGGGGGUACACGAGCGGCGAACGGGUGAGUAACACGUGGGUGACCUGCCCUCAGCUCUGGGAUAAGCCUGGGAAACUGGGUCUAAUACCGGAUAUGACUUCGCAUCGCAUGGUGUGGGGUGGAAAGUUUUUCGGCUGGGGAUGGGCCCGCGGCCUAUCAGCUUGUUGGUGGGGUGAUGGCCUACCAAGGCGACGACGGGUAGCCGGCCUGAGAGGGCGACCGGCCACACUGGGACUGAGACACGGCCCAGACUCCUACGGGAGGCAGCAGUGGGGAAUAUUGCGCAAUGGGCGGAAGCCUGACGCAGCGACGCCGCGUGGGGAUGAC